rnacentral:tRNA from 1 species
UCCAAAAUAGCUAAAAUUUUUAAAGCCUUGAUUUUGUAAAUCAAAGAUAGUUAAACUUUUUGGAA